GGAUGUGAGGGUGACCUGGCUCUGGCAUCUGCCGCCCCAGUGAUUGCCAGGUUUCCAUCACUCGGGCUGGUUAGAUGGGGGUGCCCCCUUCCUACCUCACCACCCAGUACACACCGCUCCCAAAGCUCUGUUCAAAGUGGUCGACUCCCCCUGAUAGAAAAGAACCAUUCCCUGGUCAAACCUGUCCAGAUAGCUGUGCUGUGAGAACCGCCAGACAAGUGCUUGAGGUACAUUUGCAGGAGAACGUAAGGUACCCCGAAUCUCAAGGCUCUAGACACAUCCAAAUGAGACAUUGCAUGUGGCAGUCUGCCUUUGUUU
rnacentral:snRNA from 1 species